GGCCUAGGGUUUACUAAAUUGAAAUACAGUGAUGCACUAUCUUUUAUAAUAUAGAGAGAUCAAUCCCAUCUCGAACUGCAUACAGACUUCACAAGUACUGGACUGUAUCCAGUAAAUUUCAUCAUUGCAUUAGAAAUAUAGGUAGUCCGACAUCAAAGUAUAGUGAGUUACUUGCAAGUCACUAUGGUGAUCUCAAGUCUGAGAGAUACUUAUGUCCAUAUGCUUCACGAGCUGCUCUUGACAGUAGAGUGCUCAGUGGGUAAGUCACUUGUUCAAUGAUGAUGUAUCUCUAUAUCUCACUUGUAUGCCAUACUAGUAUCUCC
rnacentral:lncRNA from 1 species